UGGAAAGACAAUUUGCAAUGGAGCAUGUCUGUCUGUAACCUCAUCUGCCCUGUAUAAAUGCAGUGAAUGUCUAGAGAGGAGAACACUUACUAUAUAGUUAUAUCAGCAGUAGAUGUCGAGUACAAAGGAAUGUCUAUCAGCAAACUUUGAAAAAUGACACUAGGAGAACUUUUUUCUUAAUUACUGAUUAUAUUAAUGGGAAUACAACUACAAGCAUCAAGUGGUGUUUAGGUCUCUGACUUGGUAGAUGUUACAGCAGAAAACAGCAAUGAAAUUGCAAAGACUGUUCUACCAUCUGGAGCUGAUUAGAACACAAUAUCAUUCUACCCAUAAGCACACUAUAUCAGUUUGUGAAGUUGAUUACAAAAGUCCAAAGUCACCUGCAGAUGCCCAGGCAAAAAUAAGAUUACUUUAACAAGUGAAACAAAUAACAUGAGAA